rnacentral:rRNA from 1 species
GAUGAACGCUGGCGGCGUGCCUAAUACAUGCAAGUCGAGCGAACAGAUGAGGAGCUUGCUCCUCUGACGUUAGCGGCGGACGGGUGAGUAACACGUGGAUAACCUACCUAUAAGACUGGGAUAACUUCGGGAAACCGGAGCUAAUACCGGAUAAUAUAUUGAACCGCAUGGUUCAAUAGUGAAAGACGGUUUUGCUGUCACUUAUAGAUGGAUCCGCGCCGCAUUAGCUAGUUGGUAAGGUAACGGCUUACCAAGGCAACGAUGCGUAUCCGAACUGAGAGGGUGAUCGGCCACACUGGAACUGAGACACGGUCCAGACUCCUACGGGAGGCAGCAGUAGGGAAUCUUCCGCAAUGGGCGAAAGCCUGACGGAGCAACGCCGCGUGAGUGAUGAAGGUCUUCGGAUCGUAAAACUCUGUUAUUAGGGAAGAACAAAUGUGUAAGUAACUAUGCACGUCUUGACGGUACCUAAUCAGAAAGCCACGGCUAACUACGUG